GAUGAACGCUGGCGGCGUGCCUAAUACAUGCAAGUCGAGCGAACAGACGAGGAGCUUGCUCCUCUGAUGUUAGCGGCGGACGGGUGAGUAACACGUGGAUAACCUACCUAUAAGACUGGGAUAACUUCGGGAAACCGGAGCUAAUACCGGAUAACAUGUUGAACCGCAUGGUUCAACAGUGAAAGACGGUCUUGCUGUCACUUAUAGAUGGAUCCGCGCCGCAUUAGCUAGUUGGUAAGGUAACGGCUUACCAAGGCAACGACGCGUAGCCGACCUGAGAGGGUGAUCGGCCACACUGGAACUGAGACACGGUCCAGACUCCUACGGGAGGCAGCAGUAGGGAAUCUUCCGCAAUGGGCGAAAGCCUGACGGAGCAACGCCGCGUGAGUGAAGAAGGUCUUCGGAUCGUAAAACUCUGUUAUUAGGGAAGAACAAAUGUGUAAGUAACUAUGCACGUCUUGACGGUACCUAAUCAGAAAGCCACGGCUAACUACGUG
rnacentral:rRNA from 1 species